AUUGAACGCUGGCGGCAGGCCUAACACAUGCAAGUCGAGCGGAGCGGCGGACGGGUGAGUAAUGCCUAGGUCUCUGCCUGUUAGUGGGGGAUAACGUCAGGAAAUGGGCGCUAAUACCGCAUACUAUUAGAAGAGGCUAAGUCGGAUUAGCUAGUGGGUGGGGUAAAGGCCAACCAAGGCUACGAUCCGUAACUGGUCUGAGAGGAUGAUCAGUCACACUGGAACUGAGACACGGUCCAGACUCCUACGGGAGGCAGCAGUGGGGAAUAUUGGACAAGGGGCGAAAGCCUGAUCCAGCCAUGCCGCGUGUGUGAAGAAGGUCUUCGGAUUGUAAAGCACUUUAAGAUGGGAGGCGUUACCAACAGAAUAAGCACCGGCUAACUCCGUGCCAGCAGCCGCGGUAAUUC
rnacentral:rRNA from 1 species